UGUGUGUUAGUGGAAGCGUCUGGAAAGGCGCGCGAUACAGGGUGACAGCCCCGUACACAAAAAUGCACAUGCUGUGAGCUCGAUGAGUAGGGCGGGACACGUGGUAUCCUGUCUGAAUAUGGGGGGACCAUCCUCCAAGGCUAAAUACUCCUGACUGACCGAUAGUGAACCAGUACCGUGAGGGAAAGGCGAAAAGAACCCCGGCGAGGGGAGUGAAAAAGAACCUGAAACCGUGUACGUACAAGCAGUGGGAGCACGCUUAGGCGUGUGACUGCGUACCUUUUGUAUAAUGGGUCAGCGACUUAUAUUCUGUAGCAAGGUUAACCGAAUAGGGGAGCCGAAGGGAAACCGAGUCUU
rnacentral:rRNA from 1 species